CUGGGACUUAAACAGAAGAAAAAUUGUUACUGAGAACAAAACAGAAACACAGGCAUUUUGGCCCACAGAUCUCUAUUAAGAGAAAAAUACAAAGAAUAAAUGAGUAAGGCUCUUGAAACCAUUGAAUUGUACAAACUUUGGUGGUUUUAAAUCUGGAUUUGUGAAUAGCUGAGCCCGUUCACUGUCCCAUUUUGGAGAACCAUGAGGCAUUCUACAAUCUAGCCCUUCUCCAGGUGGAUGCUUACCUGUCCGCCCAACCACAUUUAUCUGAUUCUUCAGGGACCCGCUGACUGAGGCAAUCAUGAUCUGGUACUGCUCCCCGGCCUCCAGUCUGUGGAACGUGUGCUCAAAGACGUGCUUGGGAAUAGUCUGAGAGUCAACCUUUUGACUGUGCCUGAAUGCCGACACCGUGUAGGAAUCAACGUCUCCCCCACCAGGAGUCCAGUUCACCGUCAGGCUAUCUGUUGCUCCAUUGGGAGAAAUGUGAAUAUUUUUGACAGCACUAGGAACUAAAACAGAAAAUAAAUUUAAAAGUCAUCACUUAGAGAAUGAACUGUUGAAAUUUUCAAACAAAGUUUUGAAUGCUUCUGAUGUUUUGGCACCCACUGAGAGAACUCACAUGAAAAAGAAAGUAACAAUUUGCCACUUUUCUCUGAUUUUUCUGUGUGAACUAAAGUUGAUGGGGGAAAGCUUAGGGGGAAGUCAAAGCCGGUGAGUGGAAAUGAGGAAUGCUAAUUAUAUAGCGAGGGGCUAGUUAGGGUGUCUUGGUCCAAGUUUUGGUUUUCUCACUCACUAGCUGUGGGACUACAGGCAAAUUACUUGACCUCUGUAAGUUUUAGUUUCUUCAUUAGGAAAAAUGGCAGUGAUGAUAAUACUAACCAGCCCAUAGAGUUGUGAAGAUUGAUUCUUUUUUAAUUUAAUUUUAUUUUAUUUUUGAGGUAGGGUCUCUGUCUGUUGUCCAGGCUGGAGUGCAAUGGCAUGAUUAUGGCUCACUGCAUCCUAUACCUCCUGGGCUCAAGUGAUUCUCCCACCUCAGCCUCCCCAGUAGCUGGGACUACAGGCACGUAACACCGUGCCCGGCUAAUUUUUUUGUAUUUUUUGUAGAGACAGGGUUUUGUCAUGUUGCCCAGGCUGUGCUUGAACUCCUGGGCUCAAGCUAUCCUCCUGCCUUGGCUUCCAAAGCAUUGUGAAGACUGAACAAGAUGUAGACAUAAAAUGCUUUGCUGUGGGUCUGGUUCAUGGUGAACUGUCAGUACAUGUUAACUACUAUGGCAACACUCCUAAAAGAGUUCUAAAGAAGUGAUACCCAAGUAACACUUAAUUCUUAAUCUGUGUGCCUCAGAAGCACCAGCUGAUCACAUCAGUUCAUUGCUAUUUCUCUGAAAGCACCCUCCAACCCCGCCACUCUCUGCUGACAUCAUACUUUAUUUUCAUUCAUCCAGGUUGGACAACAUCAUUGUCACUAUCAACAUGACUUUGUCCCUUCUUGCUGUCUCCCUUUUAUCCCUCCAAAUGCUCAAUCGAAAUACCUGAACUACCCGAAAGUUAAAUGCACCACUGCAUCUAUUCAGGUUCAAGAACAGUAUUUCACAUUACCUGUGAAGCCCUCAAUGAAGGCUGACUGCUGUACAUCCCCGCUAAUCGUCAAGACAAGAAUUUUGUAUUGGCGGCCUGGUGUUAGGGAAGUAAAUCGAUACUCGGUUGCGGUAUUUACAAGGUGAAAAGGAGGAAAUACUUUCAUGUCAUUGAAGAGCAGCUGGAUCUCAUAUUGGUCGACAUCCCCAUUAGCUCCUGACCAAGUCACAUGCAAGUCCUCAGUGCUCCUGUUGCGCAAUGUUAGAUCCUUAACAGGCUCUGGAACUAGGGAGAAAAAUGAGAAGACAUUUCAGGAAAGGAACUGAUCAGAGUUUACCUACAUAAUAAUUUAUGAAUCACAUUCAAGGAACUGGCAACAUCUCCCUUCCCCAAAUAAACCACUAGCACUACUUCAUGCAUAAUUAAACAAGAAAAAUUGGAAGCAACUAUUAACAUUGUGGUUUUUUCCUGACAUAAAUGUUACAUGAUCAGCAUUGGUAGAACAUAAUUAUAAAAUGAGUUAUGAUCUCAAUCAUAAGAUAAAACAAGAAGUCUAGAAUCUAAAUGCCAUGAUGCAGGAAGAUAGGGAAGAAAAAUGGGACAUUUAGCCUUCUUGCUCCCUCACUAUGUUUGCUUUUAUCUACCAAUAAAUAUUCUGUAAUUAUAGGCCAUGGCUUGGCUGAAUGAUGUUAGCACCAAGUGAGACUUACUGGGAAUGUAAUGUACUAAUGAAUAAGCAGAAAAAAUUCAAGGUUCAGAUAAAUUACUAGAGACUUUCAAGUCCAACCAACUGUCAGAUUUUGCAAUCGUUCCACUUACUUG
rnacentral:lncRNA from 1 species